rnacentral:rRNA from 1 species
CCUACGGGUGGCUGCAGUGGGGAAUCUUGCGCAAUGGGCGAAAGCCUGACGCAGCGACGCCGCGUGGGUGAUGAAGGCCUUCGGGUUGUAAAGCCCUGUGGGGAGGGAAGAAUGAGUUCGGGUGAAUAUCCCGAGCGAUGACGGUACCUCCUUAGCAAGCACCGGCUAACUCUGUGCCAGCAGCCGCGGUAAGACAGAGGGUGCGAACGUUGUUCGGAAUUACUGGGCGUAAAGCGCAUGUAGGCGGCCGCGCAGGUCGGGUGUGAAAGCCCUUG